rnacentral:rRNA from 1 species
UUCAUGACUGGGGAGAAGUCGUAACAAGGUAACCGUAGGGGAACCUGCGGUUGGAUCACCUCCUUACCUAAAGA